rnacentral:rRNA from 1 species
UACGUAGGCAGCGAGCGUUGUUCGGAAUUACUGGGCGUAAAGAGUGUGUAGGCGGUGCUCUAAGUUCGGUGUGAAAUCUCCUGGCUCAACUGGGAGGGUGCGCCGGAAACUGAGUGCUUGAGCGUGGGAGAGGAAGCGGAAUUCCCGGUGUAGCGGUGAAAUGCGCAGAUAUCGGGAAGAACACCCGUGGCGAAGGCGGCUCUCUGGAACGCAACUGACGCU